UACGACGUAUCAGAGUUUGAUCCUGGCUCAGGAUGAACGCUAGCUACAGGCUUAACACAUGCAAGUCGAGGGGCAGCAUGGGCUUAGCUUGCUAAGCCCGAUGGCGACCGGCGGAUGGGUGAGUAACGCGUAUGCAACUUGCCUUUUAGUGGGGAAUAACCCGGAGAAAUCCGGACUAAUACCGCAUACACUUAGUUAUCCGCAUGGAUGAUUAAGGAAAGAUUUAUUGCUAAGAGAUAGGCAUGCGUUCCAUUAGUUAGUUGGUGAGGUAACGGCUCACCAAGGCAUCGAUGGAUAGGGGAGCUGAGAGGCUUAUCCCCCACAUUGGGACUGAGACACGGCCCAA
rnacentral:rRNA from 1 species